GUCGGGUUGUAACUGUAGGAGUCGGUCCCUGUCCUGGUCGGGUUGUAACUGUAGGAGUCGGUCCCUGUCCUGGUCAGGCCGGGUUGUAACUGUAGGAGUCGGUCCCUGUCCUGGUCAGGCCGGGUUGUAACUGUAGGAGUCGGUCCCUGUCCUGGUCAGGCCGGGUUGUAACUGUAGGAGUCGGUCCCUGUCCUGGUCAGGCCGGGUUGUAACUGUAGGAGUCGGUCCCUGUCCUGGUCAGGCCGGGUUGUAACUGUAGGAGUCGGUCCCUGUCCUGGUCAGGCCGGGUUGUAACUGUAGGAGUCGGUCCCUGUCCUGGUCAGGCCGGGUUGUAACUGUAGGAGUCGGUCCCUGUCCUGGUCAGGCUGGGAGGGGUGUCAGUGCUGUUACUCUGAAGGUAUUGCACUUGUCCCGGCCUGUUUAGGAUUGAGGAGAUGGUACUCUUUAAACCUGCUAAACUCUUUAAACCGGCUAAACAAUCAUUGCUUGAUGCGUGUUAGAAAUGAAUACUUGCAACAUUUUAUUUACCAAAAAUUAGACUUGUAUAUUUCUGUCACAUGAUUCUGUUUUCUAAAUUUGUUUUUAAUGAAUGAAUGUGGCGAGGUAUUUUCUAAAUUGUAGACUCAUUUCCAGAGAUUUAAAUGUGUCCCGUCCAUAUGGUGAUUGUUUCGUGCUGUGGUUUUGUCUCAAAUAAAGGUUCCAUAUGAAUUA